rnacentral:misc_RNA from 1 species
ACACCUCAACUCUUGUGGUUUCCCACAAUGAGCUUGGACUGUGGAGGUUUUGUUGGCCCUGUGGUCAGCUCCUCUCAAAUGGAUCAGCUUACCGGUGUUUGGUGGCAUUACGGGUGUGAUAACUAUCUACGCUUGCGGUUGUCUGCCAGGUAACCUUCAGUGAUGGGGGUUCGCUGGAGCUUAUAAACGUCUCUCCUCAGCGAAGACAGCUUUUGAAC